rnacentral:rRNA from 1 species
AACAAACGCUGGCGGCGUGCCUAAUACAUGCAAGUCGAACGGGGAAAGCUUUCGGGUGAGUACUAGCGGCGCACGGGUGAGGAACGCGUGGAUAAUCUGCCUUAGAGUGGGGGAUAACUAGUCGAAAGAUUAGCUAAUACCGCAUAAGACCACAGGAGCUGCGGCUCAAGGGGUCAAAGGUUUUUCGCUCUAAGAUGAGUCCGCGUAAGAUUAGCUAGUUGGUGAGGUAACGGCUCACCAAGGCGACGAUCUUUAACUGGUCUGAGAGGAUGAUCAGUCACACGGGAACUGAGACACGGUCCAGACUCCUACGGGAGGCAGCAGUAGGGAAUAUUGCACAAUGGAGGAAACUCUGAUGCAGCGACGCCGCGUGAGUGAUGAAGGCCUUCGGGUCGUAAAGCUCUGUCGCAGGGGAAUAACACAAUGAAUGUACCCUGUAAGAAAGGAUCGGCUAACUUCGUGCCAGCAGCCGCAGUAAAAC